GAGGGUAUAGCUCAGUGGUAGAGUGCGUCCUUGGCAUGUAUGAGGUCCUGGGUGCAAUCCCCAGUACCUCCA
rnacentral:tRNA from 1 species